CCUACGGGUGGCACCAGUAGGGAAUCUUCGGCAAUGGACGAAAGUCUGACCGAGCAACGCCGCGUGAGUGAAGAAGGUUUUCGGAUCGUAAAACUCUGUUGGUAGAGAAGAACGUUAGUGAGAGUGGAAAGCUCAUCAAGUGACGGUAACUACCCAGAAAGGGACGGCUAACUACGUGCCAGCAGCCGCGGUAAUACGUAGGUCCCGAGCGUUGUCCGGAUUUAUUGGGCGUAAAGCGAGCGCAGGUGGUUUAUUAAGUCUGGUGUAAAAGGCAGUGGCUCAACCAUUGUAUGCAUUGGAAACUGGUAGACUUGAGUGCAGGAGAGGAGAGUGGAAUUCCAUGUGUAGCGGUGAAAUGCGUAGAUAUAUGGAGGAACACCGGUGGCGAAAGCGGCUCUCUGGCCUGUAACUGACACUGAGGCUCGAAAGCGUGGGGAGCAAACAGGAUUAGAUACCCCUGUAGUC
rnacentral:rRNA from 1 species